rnacentral:rRNA from 1 species
GUGGGGAAUAUUGGACAAUGGGGGGAACCCUGAUCCAGCCAUGCCGCGUGUGUGAAGAAGGCCUUUUGGUUGUAAAGCACUUUAAGCGAGGAGGAGGCUACCGAGAUUAAUACUCUUGGAUAGUGGACGUUACUCGCAGAAUAAGCACCGGCUAACUCUGUGCCAGCAGCCGCGGUAAUACAGAGGGUGCAAGCGUUAAUCGGAUUUACUGGGCGUAAAGCGCGCGUAGGUGCCCAAUUAAGUCAAAUGUGAAAUCCCCGAGCUUAACUUGGGAAUUGCAUUCGAUACUGGUUGGCUAGAGUAUGGGAGAGGAUGGUAGAAUUCCAGGUGUAGCGGUGAAAUGCGUAGAGAUCUGGAGGAAUACCGAUGGCGAAGGCAGCCAUCUGGCCUAAUACUGACACUGAGGUGCGAAAGCAUGGGGAGCAAACAGGAUUAGAAACCCGAGUAGUCC